UACGAAGGGGGCUAGCGUUGUUCGGAAUCACUGGGCGUAAAGGGCGCGUAGGCGGCUUUAUAAGUCGGGGGUGAAAUCCUGGAGCUCAACUCCAGAACUGCCUUUGAUACUGGCGAUCUCGAGUCCGGGAGAGGUGAGUGGAACUGCGAGUGUAGAGGUGAAAUUCGUAGAUAUUCGCAAGAACACCAGUGGCGAAGGCGGCUCACUGGCCCGGUACUGACGCUGAGGUGCGAAAGCGUGGGGAGCAAACAGG
rnacentral:rRNA from 1 species